rnacentral:rRNA from 1 species
UACGAAGGGGGCUAGCGUUGCUCGGAAUCACUGGGCGUAAAGCGCACGUAGGCGGGUCUUUAAGUCAGGGGUGAAAUCCUGGAGCUCAACUCCAGAACUGCCUUUGAUACUGAGGAUCUCGAGUCCGGGAGAGGUGAGUGGAACUCCGAGUGUAGAGGUGAAAUUCGUAGAUAUUCGGAAGAACACCGGUGGCGAAGGCGGCAUCCUGGACCGGUAUUGACGCUGAUGAGCGAAAGCCAGGGGAGCAAACGGG